rnacentral:rRNA from 1 species
ACUCAAAUGAAUUGACGGGGGCCCGCACAAGCGGUGGAGCAUGUGGUUUAAUUCGAUGCAACGCGAAGAACCUUACCUGGACUUGACAUCCUCUGACAGCCCUAGAGAUAGGGUCUUGUAGCAAUACACAGAGAGACAGGUGCUGCAUGGCUGUCGUCAGCUCGUAUCGUGAGAUGUCGGGUUAAGUCCCUUAACGAGCGCAACCCUUAUCCCUAGUUGCCAUCAUUCAGUUGGGCACUCUAUGGAGACUGCCGGUGUUAAACCGGAGGAAGGCGGGGAUGACGUCAAGUCCUCAUGGCCUUUAUGUCCAGGGCCACACACGUGCUACAAUGGCUGGUACAAAGGGAUGCCAACGCGCGAGCGGGAGCUAAUCUCAUAAAGCCAGUCUCAGUUCGGAUUGAAGUCUGCAACUCGACUUCAUGAAGCUGGAAUCGCUAGUAAUCGUAGAUCAGAACGCUACGGUGAAUACGUUCCCGGGCCUUGUACACACCGCCCGU